UCACCUUCAUCCUGCCUUCUGGCUGUUCCCGUGCUUGGAGCCAGUGCUUCUCAAACUUUGGGGAGAUGAGGACCAGGUAAAGGUCACCCGUUGGCAGACUGCCCUUUUAGGAGUACCGGUUAAGGGUAAGCUGCAAUGUGAGAAGACGGACUUGAAUAAAAUGUAUGAGAGAGUAUUGUCAGCUCUGAAGCUUAAUAACAGGUAGCUCUGGGUGGUGGUGUUGACUCUUCGUGGACACCAGUAUUGCUCCCACAUGAUCUUAAAGAUGAACUCAAACCCCACCUUCUCUGUGCUGUCUUCUUACACUCCCUCAAGCGCUGUGUUGUUCUUCCCUGUGCCUCGCAUGGUAUCAGAAGGUCUACGUUGCUACUCCCAUGCAUGGUCUACUCCCAUGAAUGGGAGUCUCUCUUCCUCAGCUGCCAUGAUUUUUAUUCUCUUUCUGUGGAUAGAAGCAAAUGGAUGGGUCAGUAUGAGCCUGUCUAGAGAUUUCUGUUGACAGAUCCUUUAAGAAGGAAAAAAUAGAAGUGGAUGGAACUAGAGGGUAUUAUGCUCA